GGGAGGAAAGGAAACCAAUUGGAAUUCCUUAGGUAAGGGGGAGUGAAGCGGUAAAAGCUCAAAUUUGAAAUCUGGUACUUUCAGUGCCCGAGUUGUAAUUUGUAGAAUUUGUCUUUGAUUAGGUCCUUGUCUAUGUUCCUUGGAACAGGACGUCAUAGAGGGUGAGAAUCCCGUUUGGCGAGGAUACCUUUUCUCUGUAAGACUUUUUCGAAGAGUCGAGUUGUUUGGGAAUGCAGCUCAAAGUGGGUGGUAAAUUCCAUCUAAAGCUAAAUAUUGGCGAGAGACCGAUAGCGAACAAGUACAGUGAUGGAAAGAUGAAAAGAACUUUGAAAAGAGAGUGAAAAAGUACGUGAAAUUGUUGAAAGGGAAGGGCAUUUGAUCAGACAUGGUGUUUUUUGCAUGCACUCGCCUCUCGUGGGCUUGGGCCUCUCAAAAAUUUCACUGGGCCAACAUCAAUUCUGGCAGCAGGAUAAAUCAUUAAGAAUGUAGCUACUCCGGAAUGGUAUAACUUUUUGGAAUACUGGUAACCCGGAAUGAAGAACGGCCUUCCGCCAAGGAGGUGGGCUAAUGGGUAAAUGGCCCCCCUCCUG
rnacentral:rRNA from 1 species